AACCUGGUUGAUCCUGCCAGUAGUCAUAUGCUUGUCUCAAAGAUUAAGCCAUGCAUGUCUAAGUAUAAAUUCUUGUACGAUGAAACUGCAGACGGCUCAUUACAACAGUGAUAAACUAAUAGACUUUCGGGUUUUUAACCUUUUGGAUAACCGCAGUAAAUCGGGGCUAAUACAUAGAAGCGAUGGGUGACUGGCAACGGAAGCUCAGCGAUUAUUAGCAUUACUACCAAUACCUUCGGGUCUUGUGGUGAAACCGAAUAAUAUUGCAGAUCGAGGAUUUAUCUUCGACAAGUCUACUGUGUCACUGCCCUAUCAACUUUCGAUGGUACGGUAUUGGCCUACCAUGGUUGUAACGGGUAACGGGGAAUUAGGGUUCGAUUCCGGAGAGGGAGCCUGAGAAAUGGCUACCACUUCUACGGAAGGCAGCAGGCGCGCAAAUUACUCAAUCCCAAUACGGGGAAGUAGUGACAAUAAAUAUCAAUACCUAUCCUUAACGGAGGGCAAUUGAAAUGAACACAAAUUAAAACUCUUAAUUAACACAAUUGGAGGGCAAGUCUGGUGCCAGCAGCCGCGGUAAUUCCAGCUCCAAUAGCAUAUACUAAAGUUGUUGCAGUUAAAAAGCUCGUAGUUGAAGUUAAAGGUUUACUGGGCUAAAGUUAUUUGCCGCUCUGGUGGUUAAAUCAACUCCAGUAUCUCUUUUUUUAAUAGUUCAGCUUCUAUUAUCUUUGAUAGUAGUUGUUUGGACAUUUCACUGUGAGAAAAUUGUGGUGUUUAAAGCAGGCGUUUCGCCUGAUCUUUUGCAGCAUGGUAUGAUGAAACAUGACAUUUUACGCUAUUGGUUUGCGUCUAAAGUGUAAUGAUUAAUAGGGAUGGAUGGGGGUGUUCAUAUUGGUGGGCGAGAGGUGAAAUUCGUUGACCCUAUCAAGAUGAACUUCUGCGAAAGCAUUCACCAAAUACUUCCCCAUUAAUCAAGAACGAAAGUUUGGGGAUCGAAGACGAUCAGAUACCGUCGUAGUCCAAACUUCCGGGGGGAGUAUGGUCGCAAGUCUGAAACUUAAAGGAAUUGACGGAAGGGCACACAAUGGAGUGGAGCCUGCGGCUUAAUUUGACUCAACUCGGGAAAACUUACCAAGCUAAGAUAUAGUAAGGAUUGACAGACUAAAAGAUCUUUCAUGAUUCUAUAAGUGGUGGUGCAUGGUCGUUCUUAGUUGGUGGAGCGAUUUGUCUGGUCAAUUCCGAUAACGGACGAGACCUCGACCUGCUAACUAGUAGUAUUUAUUAGUCAAUAUGGGCGAUAGCUUCUCUGGGGUUUGGAAUGGUUUCGGCCAUCUCCUGCUUCAAGGAGUGUGUAGUCUGACUUGAUAGGUACGAAUUAAAAAACUUCUUAGAGGGACUACCUGCCUCAAGCAGGCGGAAGUCCGAGGCAAUAACAGGUCUGUGAUGCCCUUAGAUACCUUGGGCCGCACGCGCGCUACAAUGUAGAAAACAAAAAGGUUCCUGGUCCGGAAGGAUUGGGUAAUCAUUUGAAUUUUCUACGUAACUGGGAUUGAUCUUUGUAAUUAUUGAUCAUCAACGAGGAAUUCCUUGUAAGCGUAGGUCAUUACCCUAUGCUGAAUAUGUCCCUGCCCUUUGUACACACCGCCCGUCGCUCCUACCGAUCGAAUGAUACGGUAAAGUUAACGGAUCGUUUUAUCUUUGGCAACAUUGAUAUAAACUAAAAGUUAUUUAAAUCUCAUUGUUUAGAGGAAGGAGAAGUCGUAACAAGGUAUCCGUAGGUGAACCUGCAGAAGGAUCAA
rnacentral:rRNA from 1 species